GGGGCUGUAGCUCAGAUGGAUAGAGCAACCGCCUCCUAAGCGGUAGGUCGCGCGUUCGAAUCGCGCCAGUCCCG
rnacentral:tRNA from 1 species